GUAGCGUGAAGGAUGACUGCCUAUGGGUUGUAAACCUCUUUUAUACGGGAAUAAGUCACUUACGUGUAAGUGUUUGUAUGUACUUAUGAAUAAGCAUCGGCUAACUCCGUGCCAGCAGCCGCGGUAAUACGGAGGAUGCGAGCGUUAUCCGGAUUUAUUGGGUUUAAAGGGAGCGUAGAUGGGCUUUUAAGUCAGUUGUGAAAUUCUGCGGCUCAACCGUAGGACUGCAGUUGAAACUGGGAGCCUUGAGUGCAGUUGAGGUGCAUGGAAUU
rnacentral:rRNA from 1 species